rnacentral:rRNA from 1 species
CCCCUAGAUGUUCUGGGCCGCACGCGCGCUACACUGAACAGUUCAACAAGUCUUAACCUUGGCCGAUAGGUCUGGGUAAUCUUUGAACGCUGUUCGUGAUUGGGAUAGACCUUUGCAAUUAUGGGUCUUCAACGAGGAAUUCCUAGUAAACGCAAGUCAUCAGCUUGCAUUGAUUACGUCCCUGCCCUUUGUACACACCGCCCGUCGCACCUACCGAUUGGAUGGUUCGGUGAAAAUCUCGGACUCUGACAGUGCAGCCGCAAGGCCGUGUUGUCGGGGGAAGUUAUUUAAACCUCAUCAUCUAGAGGAAGGUGAAGUCGUAACA